rnacentral:rRNA from 1 species
AUUGAACGCUGGCGGCAUGCUUUACACAUGCAAGUCGAACGGUAACAGGCCUUCGGGUGCUGACGAGUGGCGAACGGGUGAGUAAUGCAUCGGAACGUGCCCAAUCGUGGGGGAUAACGUAGCGAAAGUUACGCUAAUACCGCAUAAGCCCUGAGGGGGAAAGUGGGGGACCGCAAGGCCUCACGCGAAUGGAGCGGCCGAUGUCAGAUUAGCUAGUUGGUGGGGUAAAGGCUCACCAAGGCGAAGACGGGUAGCUGGUUUGAGAGAAUGAUCAGCCACACUGGCACUGGAACACGGGCCAGACUCCUACGGGAGGCAGCAGUGAGGAAUAUUGGGCAAUGGGCGAAAGCCUGACCCAGCCACGCCGCGUGAGUGAUGAAGGCCCUCGGGUCGUAAAGCUCUGUGGAGAGGGACGAAAACCCUGGUUUCAAAUAGGCUCCAGGCUUGACGGUACCUCUUUAGCAAGCACCGGCUAACUCUGUGCCAGCAGCCGACGG